rnacentral:lncRNA from 1 species
GUCUGCUUAAAGGCUGAGACCCUCGCCACCAGAGGAUAGGAGGGUAGCCCAGUGAUGCGGCGGGAGACUUUAGGUAGCUCCUGCCUCGCUGGCCUCCAGCCUAUGUGUGCCCACCCUCCACGCGUCCCCAGCACCGCAGGGAAGCCAUCCGACGCCUUAACCUUUCCCUGGCUAUUCCAAGCAAGGCAAAGGGCCAAGCGUCUAGGACUCUGGUCUUCUCUGCACCUGGCAACAUGAAGACAACCAGAGGCCACCUCGGGGGCGGGGCACAAAUGAAAUUCACGGGUAGAGGAAAAGACAGAGGACACACUCCUAAGGGAAGAGGCAAUAGGAGCAGAACGGAGGAGGGGAAAGAGCAGAGCGUGAAAAGUCAAGGUUUCGGGGCCUUUUUUGGUAGGAGGCCUGUGAUAAGGUUCUUGACUGAACAACCUGGCCUAGAGAAAACCUUCCCACUGAGACAACUCUCCUGCUGGAGGGUAGUCUUUCAGAGCAGCGGCCUGCAGAAAGGAAGAGAUGUCAUCCUUGAAUGGAUCUAAUCAGAGAGGGUGCUGG